rnacentral:misc_RNA from 1 species
UCAAACUUGGUCAUUUAGAGGAAGUAAAAGUCGUAACAAGGUUUCCGUAGGUGAACCUGCGGAAGGAUCAUUAUAAAAAUCAUAUAUUAUACAACCCAAACCCCUAUUGUGCACUAUUGUUGUGAGUGAGUAAGUGCCCCUAUUUGAAUAGGGGUACUGAAAGCUUACAAACUUUUUUAUUAUUAUUACACUCCAAAUACAUAAGGUUAUUUGCAUGUGUUUAUUAUACACAGUUAUAUCAAUAUAACUUUCAGCAACGGAUCUCUUGGCUCUUGCAUCGAUGAAGAACGCAGC